UUCAACGCCUUCCUGUCACUGCACGCACGCAGGAGAGGCGCGAGCUGCUCUUGAACAUACACCGGUUUGUUAAGUUCAACACAAAAACAGCCGAAUGAGAGAAGUCUUUCAAAGUUGACCUGAAGAAAACGCUAAGCGAGACUUCUCCCGACAACAAAAUGAGGCUUGGUUCAACGAUGAAGUUUUUGAUUAGUAAGAAUUCAUACAUUUUCUGUCGACAGUUAGAAUCCCUAAUCUGCUGUUUAAUUUACGCAAUAUAGAAAAAAUAGACGAAAAAGUUCUUAAAAUCAACCAAUAAACGUAAUAGACUUUGUUGAUCCUGCACAGGAGGAUUAUUUUAAAAUCUGGCAAGAAUUAUAACAAGGAUUAUAGGCUAACCUAAAACAUCACUCACUAACAAUUCGCUGAGGGAGUGAAGCAACAUUGUAUAAAAUUGUCCUUGAUCUAAACCUCAUUAUGAUACUCAUCGAGCUGCUUAUGUUUUGCUCCGGAUUCAAAUGGAAAAUAAAGGAGUUUCACUUGUUCAGGGAGGCUGGAGCAGCUCUUUGCUCUGUUACAAACUUUGCGAAAAUGUAGAUCUCUUCCGUGACCUCUUUAGCGGGACAAAGGAGGCUGCAGAUCGAUUCGUUACACCUUUUUAGUGAAGGCUUCUGCUGAAGGGGAGGGGCUCUGUAUCCACCAGAGGCUCCAUUAAUAGCCUACACUCCAUCCUAACUAUUAUCCCGCAUAAAGUGUUUAUAAAAGGGAACACAACUGGGCUAAUGUUAGCUCAAAUCAGACAGCAUGACACGGGCUAUCCGUUUACCGUCGGAGAGAAGAGUGAAAAAGAGAGGAAGAAGAAGCCCCCCUGCUCCCCACACUUUUUUUUCUGGGAGACCUGACUGGAUUCGGCCAGAAAAGGACCUCAAGCCUGUCUUUUAAGUCUAGCUAAAUCCUACAUGACAGUGGAUUACACACUUUUGGCUAACCAUUGAGCUAGUCCUGAAUCGACUGGAUCUGGUCCGACUUUAAUAUGUCAAGGAAAGCUGUUUUAAAAGAUAAACUGGGGGAUACUGCUAGAUAGUCCUGCAGGGAGUCAAAUAAGGUGAGGGACACUGACAAAGUUGAUGUUCUAUAACUUUGGAUUCUAAAUCAUUACAAAAACACUACUGCUUCAAAUACCAUUGUGUUAUUUCCAUUAGAAUAAAACUAAAUAUGGCACCAAAUCAUUUUAAAUUCUUGCAUAUCAGUAAGAUAUAAUAGUUUUAAAGCAAGUUAGAAACACUAUUGAUUAUAUGUACAUGUGAAAUUUGGUGACGCUUAUGGUAGCAGGUGUGUUAUCAACUAUCACACACUUCAACAUGAACCCCAGCCCCCAUGACAAUGUGACUGAGCUGUAUUUUUCAUUUGGUCUGUUUGCCGCCACACACAUAUGAAAUAUAUAUUUGAUUUAACAAAAUAAUAAAAAUAAAAUCAAAGAAGCUC